rnacentral:misc_RNA from 1 species
GUGAAUCAUCGAAUCUUUGAACGCACAUUGCGCCCUCUGGUAUUCCGGGGGGCAUGCCUGUUCGAGCGUCAUUUCAACCCUCAAGCUCUGCUUGGUAUUAAGUCUCACCUACUAGGCGGGCUGUAAAAUCAGUGGCGGUGCCAUCAGGCUUCAAGCGUAGUAAUUCUCUCGCUUUGGAGGACCUGUUGUGUGCCUGCCACCAACCCCAAUUUUUUCAAAGGUUGACCUCGGAUCAGGUAGGGAUACCCGCUGAACUUAAGCAUAUCAAUAAGCGGAGGA